UGGGUUUAGGCGAUAAUGACU
ensembl:piRNA 21ur-119 ncRNA